GGAGAUGUGGCUCAGUGGUAGAGUGCCCGUCUGGCAUGGCAUGUGUGAGGCCCUGGAUUCAAUCUCCAGUACCAACA
rnacentral:tRNA from 1 species